rnacentral:lncRNA from 1 species
CUCUCCUAGGUUAGGCCUUUAGGCUACCCAUACUCCCCACGCAGAGAAACUGGGGCUGAGGAGGUCUCCCAGUUCCACAGCUAGGCACACCUCUGCAUGCUUGGUGGCUGCCCAUGGGAUUCUCCCUUGGUGCUGGUGUUUUUGCCUGCCAUUGUGGGACCUGUAGGUGGGUCUGCCUGGUUUGUGUAUGUUGUUCCCGUCUA